UACGUAGGGUGCGAGCGUUAAUCGGAAUUACUGGGCGUAAAGCGUGCGCAGGCGGUUUUGUAAGCCAGAUGUGAAAUCCCCGGGCUUAACCUGGGAAUGGCAUUGGGACUGCAAGGCUCGAGUGCGGCAGAGGAGACGUGGAAUUCCUGGUGAGCAGUGAAAUGCGUAGAUAUCGUAAGGAAGACCAGUGGCGAAGGCGGUCUCUGGAGCAGUUCCUGACGCUGAGACGAAGGUCAGGGAGC
rnacentral:rRNA from 1 species